UUCAUUCAACAUUUCCUCAAUGCUUACUAUGUGCCUAGCACUGGGGUACAAUGAUGAAUGAGAUAAACUGGACUUGGUGGCUCACACCUGUAAUCCCAGCACUUUGGGAGGCUAAGGCAGGAGGAUCACUUGAGGCUAGGAGUUCAAGGCCAGCCUGGGCAACAUGGAGAGACCACAUCUCUAAAAAAUAAUCUUAAUAAAAAUAAAAAAUAAAAACAAAGAAAAAUGAGACAGGGUCCUUUCCAGGGUGAUGUGCCUUCUCUUGUCACCACAAUUGCAGCUUGUUUACGCAUUUGCUAAAUGGUUGCUAGGGCUUGGAUAUUUGUCCCCUCCAAAACUUAUGUUGAAGUUCAACCCCCAAUGUAGCAAUAUUCAGAGUUGGGGCCUUUAAGAGGUGAUUGGGUCAUGAGAGCUCUGCCCUCAUAAAUGGAUAAAUCCAUUCAUGGAUUCAUGGGUUGAUGGACUAAUGGGUUGCUACAGGAAUGGGACUAGCAGCUUCAUAAGAUGAGGAUGAGAGAACUGAGCUAACACACUCAGUCCCCUCACCUUGUGGUGCUCUGCACCACCUGGGGACUCUUCAGAGAGUUCCCACCAGCAAAAAGGCCCUCACCAGA
rnacentral:lncRNA from 10 species